UGCACUUGUCACAGAGCAUUAAUGAGGAAAAAAGGCUGCAAAGUGUCAAGGUGGACAUGCGAGACUAUUCCUCACUCAAACCAACAAGACUGCACAUCCUGUGGUGUCCUGGCCUUGAAAUUUGCAGAAAAUAUCUUGAAAGGAGAAGCACUGCUUUUUGAUACUACUCAGACGGCAGUGGACAAGUUAAGGAUGGAAAUCGCCAUUUCCCUCCUCACAGAAUCUGAUGAUCUUAGUGGGCUGUGUUUUUGCUGUGGAAUGGAGGACCAUGAUGAGACACAAUGGGUUUGCUGUGACAAGUGUCAGAGAUGGUACCACUAUGCCUGUGUAAACAGACCUCCAGUGGAUGAGCCGUAUUUCUGCCCUGCAUGCAAGUAGUGGUGGCUCCUAUUUCCAUAAAAGAUCUUCUAAGAUCUUUUCAACUACCACUACUGUAAAGAUCAGAGGAGAAGAGUUUGUUGUUGUUUUCUUUGUUAUUUGAAUACUUGCAUCUUUAAUUUAUUUAAAUGG